rnacentral:rRNA from 1 species
ACGCUGGCGGCGUGCCUAAUACAUGCAAGUAGAACGCUGAAGGAGGAGCUUGCUUCUCUGGAUGAGUUGCGAACGGGUGAGUAACGCGUAGGUAACCUGCCUGGUAGCGGGGGAUAACUAUUGGAAACGAUAGCUAAUACCGCAUAAGAGUAGAUGUUGCAUGACAUUUGCUUAAAAGGUGCAAUUGCAUCACUACCAGAUGGACCUGCGUUGUAUUAGCUAGUUGGUGGGGUAACGGCUCACCAAGGCGACGAUACAUAGCCGACCUGAGAGGGUGAUCGGCCACACUGGGACUGAGACACGGCCCAGACUCCUACGGGAGGCAGCAGUAGGGAAUCUUCGGCAAUGGACGGAAGUCUGACCGAGCAACGCCGCGUGAGUGAAGAAGGUUUUCGGAUCGUAAAGCUCUGUUGUAAGAGAAGUACGAGUGUGAGAGUGGAAAGUUCACACUGUGACGGUAUCUUACCAGAAAGGGACGGCUAACUACGUGCCAGCAGCCGCGGUAAUACGUAGGUCCCGAGCGUUGUCCGGAUUUAUUGGGCGUAAAGCGAGCGCAGGCGGUUAGAUAAGUCUGAAGUUAAAGGCUGUGGCUUAACCAUAGUACGCUUUGGAAACUGUUUAACUUGAGUGCAAGAGGGGAGAGUGGAAUUCCAUGUGUAGCGGUGAAAUGCGUAGAUAUAUGGAGGAACACCGGUGGCGAAAGCGGCUCUCUGGCUUGUAACUGACGCUGAGGCUCGAAAGCGUGGGGAGCAAACAGGAUUAGAUACCCCUGGUAGUCCACGCCGUAAACGAUGAGUGCUAGGUGUUAGACCCUUUCCGGGGUUUAGUGCCGCAGCUAACGCAUUAAGCACUCCGCCUGGGGAGUACGACCGCAAGGUUGAAACUCAAAGGAAUUGAC